ensembl:lincRNA
AUGAGAAAGAAAAUGUCCCAGAUUCUGUCCCUCCAUCAGCCUUCCAUCGUGCCACCAUUAGGAGACGUUCACCCCCUCUGCCUGGCUUUGCAAGUGCAUGACAAACAUCAGUCUUACCCACUGAUCCAUUGUUCUGGACCAAUAUCAUUCCCACACAUCAGGUGGCUUCCUGACUUCUUUGCCUCGUCCCUGUGGAUUCUCCUGCAUGGAACAGCUCUUCCUGCCUCCUCCACAUUCAUGUGGCCCGCCUGGAAAGCUUCAAGUCACCCUCAAUCCCAGAAGUACUUCUGUACUCACAGCCCAGUCUCAGAUAUCAUCCUGUUGGGCCAAUCUCAUGCGCAGGGUUCCCGCCUACCUUUGGCAUCUGCAGAAGAAGGGGGGGUCCAGAAAGCCUCUGUGGUGGACAGGUCAUUGCAGAAGUCCCUGUGGCGGCACACUCGGGUAUAGGAGACAACAGACAGCCCAGGGCCUUUCCUGUGCCAGGUGACUCGGGGCUCUUGGUCCUUUGCCUCAGUGCAGCCCUUGGUGAUCACCACCUCCACUUGGGCCCCUGGAUGGAGACACAGAGGCAGGUUUGGGUGGUGUUCAGGGCUGUAGGGUCCUAGAGAGAACUUUAGCAUCAUGCAGUGGGUGAGAUGCUGGAAAGUUGCAGAAGUCCUGCAACUGCUGUGGAGGCAAGAUUAUUCCUGGCAUUUGGGAAGGGAUUCCAGAUCCCCUGGAACCUAGGGCAGGGCUGAAUAGGAAGAGGCAGAGCUCAGCACCUCAGUGGCCCUUCUCACCAUUCACUAUGAGAAGCACCGUGUCUUGACACCCCUCGCCGAUCUCGCAGGUCUGCCAGCCAGCGGUCCAUUCUACUGGAAAAGUCGACACAUUCCUUACGGUUUCUGAUGAUUCUCUUUUGCAGUCCAGAACUUCCACACCUAGGAUGCAAACAGAAAAUACAAUUGAGCAGGUUUCUGUACCCAGUUUCUUGGGGAAUCUACUGCCAGGUCAGGUCCCCAUUCACAGGGAGCAACAAGUUGACUUCUCUUAGCCAGCCUGUAGGUGCAGAAGGCUAGAAACCCGGAUGUGAGUGACCCCCAGCUCAUUUCCUCAGGUUUGCCGCUCUCGCCGGGGGGACAGACUGAAACACCAAAUGAGAGUGUCUGCCGACCUUCACUGUCCUUGAAGCUCUAUGGGUUAGAGUGAAGCAGGCAGAUGAGGAAACUGGGUCAUGGAGAGGGAAGUCCGUGGAAGCCAGGACUCUGUUUUUACCUUUUUUCUCCACCCUGACCCCACCUAUCUUGCAAGCCUUCUUUGGGAGAUGCUCUGUGACACUCCAGCUGUCUGCUGUGUGCCAGGCUGGCCACAUAAAGUAGGCGUGGGGGAAACUCUCACCCAGAGUCUCAAUGUAACUCUGCUUCUAUGUCAGUCCUAAAGCCCCAUCAACUGCCUCUUUUCUUUCCUUCCUCUGCAGUCAAGCUACUGGGGUGCUCCCGGACUGUAGGGAUGAAAGAGGAUGGUAGAGAGACCCAGGGUUACCUAAACUCAGGAAUAUGGAGAAUAGAAUUGGAAUCAAGCAGUCACUCUGAGCAUUAUAACAAGCAGGUGGUUCUGCAGUGACAGCUGUACCAAGUCACAUUCAGAGUCACUUUGUGACCUGUCGCACCCCUGACUUUCCCACUCACCUCCCUUGAGCACAUGGAUGAGCC